UUUUUUUCCUUAAUAUUGUGGUAUUGGCUAUUCUGGAUCUUUUGUUUCUCCAUAUAAACUUAGAAUUGGUUUGUCAAUAUCCACAAAAUAUCUUGCUGAGAUUUUG